rnacentral:tRNA from 2 species
GGUGCCAUAGCUCAGUAGGUAGAGCAAAGGACUGAAAAUCCUUGUGUCGCUGGUUCGAUCCCAGCUGGCACCACAA